CAGACAACAUUUCGGUGUUGGCGAUUGAACAUAAUAAGACAAAGAGAAAAAUUCUAGAGUCUCUAUACAUUAUGACGAAUGACACGAUGAAUUUCAGGCGAGACACUGAGAACAUUAAUUCGGUGUACAAAAGCUUGCUAAGAAAAUAAUUAAUCCAUGUUCCGUAGAAAGUGCAGUUUAGUUAGCCAGCAUUGUCUUUUCCACUUGAGUUUUUAAUGUUAUUGAGUUGCAAUGUCAAAAUAGUAAACAAAGACGGUCGAGUUAGUGUUUUUGAAAAAUUAAUUAAUUCGAUUGAGAUGUAUUAUUCAUGCUGAUGAUGCGAAAAUAAAAUCGCGAAACGUCCAUAAAAAACAAAGUUUUUUAUUUGUCGACCGGAAAAUCAAGGAAAACCCAAACCCUUAUUCAUUGUUUCCACGGUCAAGGAAAAC